rnacentral:rRNA from 1 species
UACGAAGGGGGGCUAGCGUUGCUCGGAAUCACUGGGCGUAAAGCGCACGUAGGCGGAUUGUUAAGUCAGGGGUGAAAUCCUGGAGCUCAACUCCAGAACUGCCUUUGAUACUGGCGAUCUCGAGUCCGGGGAGAGGUGAGUGGAACUGCGAGUGGUAGAGGUGAAAUUCGUAGAUAUUCGCAAGAACACCAGUGGCGAAGGCGGCUCACUGGCCCGGUACUGACGCUGAGGUGCGAAAGCGUGGGGAGCAAAGCAGG